rnacentral:rRNA from 1 species
UCGGGAAUUUUGGGCAAUGGGCGAAAGCCUGACCCAGCAACGCCGCGUGAAGGAUGAAAUCUUUCGGGAUGUAAACUUCGGAAGAAUAGGAAGAAUAAAAUGACGGUACUAUUUUAAGGUCCGGCUAACUACGUGCCAGCAGCCGCGGUAAUACGUAGGGACCAAGCGUUGUUCGGAUUUACUGGGCGUAAAGGGCGCGUAGGCGGCGUAAUAAGUCACUUGUGAAAUCUCCGGGCUUAACUCGGAGCGGCCAAGUGAUACUGUUAGGCUAGAGUGCAGAAAGGGCAAUCGGAAUUCUUGGUGUAGCGGUGAAAUGCGUAGAUAUCAAGAGGAACACCUGAGGCGAAGGCGGGUUGCUAGGCUGACACUGACGCUGAGGCGCGAAAGCUAGGGUAGCAAACGGGAUUAGAUACCCCGGUAGUCCCUGAGCGGGC